CCUCAUCUUUCUCCAACCUUUGAUGUUGCGAUCUGCGUCGUCUCUUUGCUUCACAUCACAACAAAAGAUCAGAUAAAGGGGUUGCCGGAUUCUCGUUAUCUUGCCGGUAUCUUGUCGCCGGUAUACCGUUGUUUCACUUCGUGAUCUCGCCGUUUCGUUCCGACUCAUCACCUUGCUUGGAUUCGACUUAUUACAUGGACGGGCUUCAUCUCAUCUCGCCUUAGUCACCAUCUUCUCAAUUCAUCCAGAGAUCUGAUACACCUUGCCUCACUUCAUCUAGUGCUGACAUAAAAUUUAGUCAUAUUCUAGGUGAUGGAAGAUGGUUUAUAAUGGAUGUAUGGAGAAUUGGAGUUAGCAUCUUAUGGUUUAAGUAAGGAAUCAAUGGUAUUUUAUCUCUCUGUUGGUUAUUCUAUCACUCUUGUUCUCGGUCCUAUACAUGGUGCCAUGCAAACUUUGAAUUCCAUAUUUUUGUUUUUAACUUUGAUUCAUAUGGUGCCUAGUAACGAUAAUAUCGAUACGUUUGUAUAUAAGGUUCAGAAAAGAAAUUUCUACUAUAUUGCAUUGUCUUGUACUUCGUUGUUGGUGUGUGGAAGAGGAUUAUUUCUCUAUGUAUAAUGUCAUCGAAAAGAAAGAAACUCCCUGAGGCAAGGUGUAUUAUCUAAAGUACAUGUCCAACACUAAGCCAAUUAGGUGCAAAAUUGAGUAGAUGCUUAAGUUUAUAACUGAAAUUGCAGUAGAUUCUUAUGUUUUCUACUGAAAUUUCAGUAGACUUUUUGUUGUGGUUUUUCUUCUUAAUGCAUUGAUUAGGUCUUCCUAAACUAGUUUACUAUAGUGGGUCUUCUUCUCCGUAGAACAUGUGAUGCUAGUUUUGUUGGAUACAAUGGGGAUGCUAGACUUUGGUUAAAUUAAUGCUAUAUUUUCUAAACUAGUUUUGGUCUACUUGACUUGGUCGUUUUAUUGUUGCAGGAUAAGUUUAGUAUAAGUGUCUUUGUGAUAAGUCCUAAAACUCGAUGUUCUUGAAAUUGCUUCACAUAAAACCAUGUUACUUUUAUAGGUUCUAAUUAAAAUGUUUUGGUUUGAACUCCAGUGAGCCACUUAUACCAUGUUAUCACUCUAAUCUCUUGCUGCUUAUGUAUUGUUUAUUGGUUGUUGCUUGUGUAUUGAUGUGUUUUUGAGUCGUGUUUUUAAAUUCAGGAAUAAUUUUAUAUUGUAGUCUUUUUCUAAUGAAGAUGAUUGAAUGUCCUCUUUGGGCAUUCAACAUUUCUCCAAGCUACGUGAUGUAACUAUUGAUGACAUACAAGAUGCAAGUUGGUUUUGGAUAUCUUUGAGGGUGUGUUAACAUAGAAAUAUGUUUCAUUUUAUUUAUCUGUUGUUUGGAGAUUUAUUAUGCUUGUAAAACCUGUUUAAACUAUUUUGGUACUUGUAUGAUGUUAACAAUUAUUAAAGUAAUUAUGAAUUAUGAUUGAGAUUGCUA